rnacentral:rRNA from 1 species
GAUGAACGCUGGCGGCGUGCCUAAUACAUGCAAGUCGAGCGAACAGACGAGGAGCUUGCUCCUCUGACGUUAGCGGCGGACGGGUGAGUAACACGUGGAUAACCUACCUAUAAGACUGGGAUAACUUCGGGAAACCGGAGCUAAUACCGGAUAAUAUAUUGAACCGCUUGGUUCAAUAGUGAAAGACGGUUUUGCUGUCACUUAUAGAUGGAUCCGCGCCGCAUUAGCUAGUUGGUAAGGUAACGGCUUACCAAGGCAACGAUGCGUAGCCGACCUGAGAGGGUGAUCGGCCACACUGGAACUGAGACACGGUCCAGACUCCUACGGGAGGCAGCAGUAGGGAAUCUUCCGCAAUGGGCGAAAGCUUGACGGAGCAACGCCGCGUGAGUGAUGAAGGUCUUCGGAUCGUAAAACUCUGUUAUUAAGGAAGAACAAAUGUGUAAGUAACUAUGCACGUCUUGACGGUACCUAAUCAGAAAGCCACGGCUAACUACGUG